rnacentral:rRNA from 1 species
UACAGAGGGUGCAAGCGUUAAUCGGAUUUACUGGGCGUAAAGGGCGCGUAGGUGGUUGCGUAAGUGAGAUGUGAAAUCCCCGGGCUUAACCUGGGACGUGCAUCUUAGACUGCGUAACUGGAGUGUAGUAGAGGGUAGUGGAAUUUCCGGUGUAGCGGUGAAAUGCGUAGAGAUCGGCAGGAACACCCAGGGGGAAACCAGCCGACUGGGCAUCUACUGACGCUGAGGUGCGAGAGCGUGGGGAGCGAACCGG